UGAACGCUGGCGGCAUGCUUUCCACAUGCACGUCGACCGGCAGCGCGGGCUUCGGCCUGGCGGCGAGUGGCGCACGGGUGAGUAAUACAUCGGAACGUGCCCAGUAGUGGGGGAUAGCUCGGCGAAAGCCGGAUUAAUACCGCAUACGACCUGAGGGUGAAAGCGGGGGAUCUUCGGACCUCGCGCUAUUGGAGCGGCCGAUGGCAGAUUAGCUAGUUGGUGGGGUAAAGGCCUACCAAGGCGACGAUCUGUAGCUGGUCUGAGAGGACGACCAGCCACACUGGGACUGAGACACGGCCCAGACUCCUACGGGAGGCAGCAGUGGGGAAUUUUGGACAAUGGGCGAAAGCCUGAUCCAGCAAUGCCGCGUGUGUGAUGAAGGCCUUCGGGUUGUAAAGCACUUUUGGCGGGAACGAAAAGGACUGUGCCAAUACCACGGUUCGAUGACGGUACCCGCAGAAUAAGCACCGGCUAACUACGUG
rnacentral:rRNA from 1 species